UACGUAGGUGGCAAGCGUUAUCCGGAAUUACUGGGCGUAAAGCGCACGCAGGCGGUCUUUUUAAGUUUGACGUGAAAGCUCCCGGCUUAACUGGGAGAGGUCGUUGAAUACCGGAAGACUUGAGGAAAUGAGAGGGGUGUAGAAUUCCUGGUGUAGUGGUGGAAUGCGUAGAUAUCAGGAGGAAUACCAGUGGCGAAAGCGGCACCCUAGCAUUUUUCUGACGCUCAUGUGCGAAAGCGUGGGGAGCGAACGGG
rnacentral:rRNA from 1 species